AGCGAACGCUGGCGGCAGGCCUAACACAUGCAAGUCGAACGAACUCUUCGGAGUUAGUGGCGGACGGGUGAGUAACACGUGGGAACGUGCCUUUAGGUUCGGAAUAACUCAGGGAAACUUGAGCUAAUACCGAAUGUGCCCUUCGGGGGAAAGAUUUAUCGCCUUUAGAGCGGCCCGCGUCUGAUUAGCUUGUUGGUGAGGUAAUGGCUCACCAAGGCGACGAUCAGUAGCUGGUCUGAGAGGAUGACCAGCCACAUUGGGACUGAGACACGGGCCAAACUCCUACGGGAGGCAGCAGUGGGGAAUCUUGCGCAAUGGGCGAAAGCCUGACGCAGCCAUGCCGCGUGAAUGAUGAAGGUCUUAGGAUUGUAAAAUUCUUUCACCGGGGACGAUGAUGACGGUACCCGGAGAAGAAGCCCCGGCUAACUUCGUGCCAGCCGCCGCAGUAAGAC
rnacentral:rRNA from 1 species